AUACGUAGGGGGCUAGCGUUGUCCGGAAUUACUGGGCGUAAAGGGCGUGUAGGCGGUCGUGCAAGUCGGUUGUGAAAGUCUAGGGCUCAACUCUAGGAUGCCGAUCGAAACUGCAUGGCUUGAGGGCAAGAGAGGGAAGCGGAAUUCCCGGUGUAGCGGUGAAAUGCGUAGAUAUCAGGAGGAACACCAGUGGCGAAGGCGGCUCCCUGGGUUGCACCUGACGCUGAGGCGCGAAAGCUGGGGGAGCGAACGGGAUUAGAUACCCCGGUAGUCCCAGCCGUAAACGAUGGAUGCUAGGUGUAGGAGGUAUCGACCCCUCCUGUGCCGCAGUUAACGCAUUAAGCAUCCCGCCUGGGGAGUACGGUCGCAAGGCUGAA
rnacentral:rRNA from 1 species